rfam:Xanthomonas campestris pv. campestris str. ATCC 33913, complete genome.
AUCUACCCACGUACAUUCCGGUUCCUCCACGCCGGCCGCACCCACCUGACGGCCGCUCGCUACGUUUUGUUAGCC